UGUGAUAUCUGUUAAGGCUGUUUUGUGCUUCUGCAUCAACGCCACGCCGUAGCUACUCCGUCGCUCCUACGGCGUUGUGACCCUUUCGGAGUCGGAGUUGCUUUGCAUGGCGGUGCGUUUCACCGCCAUAACGCUAGGGGAAAAUAAGUCAGAGGAUAUUUGCGAGGUGUCUGCUAGCCAGUUUAUGUUAUGUUAGCAAGCAAACUUUAGCAUAACUGCCCACAAAGGACUGCUUGCUGGCGAAGAGCUCACUU